rnacentral:rRNA from 1 species
CCCUUAGAUGUUCUGGGCUGCACGCGCGCUACACUGACGCACGCAACAGGUGCCUGCUCCGAGAGGACUGGGUAAUCAUUUGAGUGUGCGUCGUGAUGGGGAUAGAAUAUUGUAAUUAUUACUCUUCAACGAGGAAUUCCUAGUAAGCGCCGGUCAGCAGCUUGCGCUGAUUACGUCCCUGCCCUUUGUACACACCGCCCGUCGCUCCUACCGAUGGGUGAUCCGGUGAAUGAUUCGGACUUCAGCGGCUCCCCUGGGGUGCGCCGGAGAAAGUUUUGUGAACCUUAUCACUUGGAGGAAGGAGAAGUCGUAACA